rnacentral:tRNA from 1 species
UUCUAAUAUGGCAGAUUAGUGCAAAGGAAUUAAACCCCUUAAAUAAAGAUUUUCUUUUAUUAGAAA